UAACGCGUGAGGAACCUGCCUCAAAGAGGGGGACAACAGUUGGAAACGACUGCUAAUACCGCAUAAGCCCACGGCUCGGCAUCGAGCAGAGGGAAAAGGAGCAAUCCGCUUUGAGAUGGCCUCGCGUCCGAUUAGCUAGUUGGUGAGGUAAUGGCCCACCAAGGCGACGAUCGGUAGCCGGACUGAGAGGUUGAACGGCCACAUUGGGACUGAGACACGGCCCAGACUCCUACGGGAGGCAGCAGCGGGGAAUAUUGCACAAUGGGGGAAACCCUGAUGCAGCGACGCCGCGUGGAGGAAGAAGGUCUUCGGAUUGUAAACUCCUGUUGUUGAGGAAGAUAAUGACGGUACUCAACAAGGAAGUGACGGCUAACUACGUGCCAGCAGCCGCGGUAAGACGUAGGUCACAAGCGUUGUCCGGAAUUACUGGGUGUAAAGGGAGCGCAGGCGGGAGAACAAGUUGGAAGUGAAAUCCAUGGGCUCAACCCAUGAACUGCUUUCAAAACUGUUUUUCUUGAGUAGUGCAGAGGUAGGCGGAAUUCCCGGUGUAGCGGUGGAAUGCGUAGAUAUCGGGAGGAACACCAGUGGCGAAGGCGGCCUACUGGGCACCAACUGACGCUGAGGCUCGAAAGUGUGGGUAGCAAACAGGAUUAGAUACCCUGGUAGUCCACACCGUAAACGAUGAUUACUAGGUGU
rnacentral:rRNA from 1 species